rnacentral:rRNA from 1 species
CCUACGGGAGGCAGCAGUGAGGAAUAUUGGUCAAUGGGCUUACGCCUGAACCAGCCAAGUCGCGUGCGGGAAGACUGCCCUAUGGGUUGUAAACCUCUUUUGUCAGGGAGCAACGCCGGCUACGUGUAGCCGGACUGAGAGUCCCUGAAGAAUAAGCAUCGGCUAACUCCGUGACAGCAGCCGCGGUAAUACGGAGGAUGCGAGCGUUAUCCGGAUUUAUUGGGUUUAAAGGGUGCGUAGGCGGAAUGCCAAGUCAGCGGUAAAAUCGCGGGGCUCAACCUCGCUCCGCCGUUGAUACUAGCGUACUUGAGUGGGCGAGAGGUAUGCGGAAUGCGUGGUGUAGCGGUGAAAUGCAUAGAUAUCACGCAGAACUCCGAUUGCGAAGGCAGCAUACCGGCGCCCAACUGACGCUGAAGCACGAAAGCGUGGGUAUCGAACAGGAUUAGAUACCCCUGUAGUC